CCUACGGGUGGCAGCAGUGGGGGAUAUUGCACAAUGGGGGAAACCCUGAUGCAGCGACGCCGCGUGGGCGAAGAAGUAUUUCGGUAUGUAAAGCCCUAUCAGCAGGGAAGAAGAAAUGACGGUACCUGAGUAAGAAGCACCGGCUAAAUACGUGCCAGCAGCCGCGGUAAUACGUAUGGUGCAAGCGUUAUCCGGAUUUACUGGGUGUAAAGGGAGCGCAGGGGGCACGGCAAGCCUGAUGUGAAAGCCCGCGGCCCAACCGCGGGACUGCAUUGGGAACUGCCGGGCUGGAGUACCGUAGAGGUAGGCGGAAUUCGUGGUGUAGCGGUGAAAUGCGUAGAUAUUAGGAGGAACACCGGUGGCGAAGGCAGCCUACUGGACGGUGACUGACGCUGAGGCUCGAAAGCGUGGGGAGCAAACAGGAUUAGAUACCCUGGUAGUC
rnacentral:rRNA from 1 species